UACAGAGGUCUCAAGCGUUGUUCGGAAUCACUGGGCUUAAAGGGCGCGUAGGCGGGUGCUCAAGUCUGUGGUGAAAUCCUCCGGCUCAACCGGAGAACUGCCAUGGAUACUGGGUGCCUCGAGGGUGGUAGGGGUAUGCGGAACUAUCGGUGGAGCGGUGAAAUGCGUUGAUAUCGAUAGGAACUCCGGUGGCGAAGGCGGCAUACUGGACCACUUCUGACGCUGAGGCGCGAAAGCCAGGGGAGCAAACGGG
rnacentral:rRNA from 1 species